UCAGACUCAUAGAGCAAAUUACUUAAAAAGAGGACUCUCCCCCCACCAAAAUCAGACCACACCUAAUUUUCAAAGUCUCUAACAUCCACAAUAUUUAGGGGGUAAAAAAAUCUACCAACUAAUUUUCUAGUCAUUUUCCAACUUGCACUUACCUCCUACUAUAGAUUUUUGAGGGUCUCCACUUUCCUGAAGAUUAAAAGAAAAAGACUUGUUGUCAGCCUUGACCCUCAAAACAAAUAAAUUCACGAACUACAAAACGUGAACCUGGCCACGCUCAUCUCAGACUAACACAUCUCUCAACCCAAGUCCAUAUUUGGGAUAAGCUCUUCGUGACUACUUUAUCCUUCAUGCUUCUUCGCCCACAGAGCCUGCCGGGGUACAAAACAGUCAAACCAACGAAAAAACUACCCUCACACAUCAAGAGGUUGCAAGAACUCCUCUUCUAUGAGGAGCAACCUGGUUGUUUGAGUAAAUAACGGCCAAGGAUUACAUAAUAUACAGCUACGAAGACUUUCAAGGAUCUGGCCGCCAAUAUAUAUCUUUCUUCUCCGCGUCCUCCGUUCCCACCCUGAGAAACGGCCCUAAGAAGAAGCAAGCCCUAGGAUUUCUCUCAGGUGCCUGCAAUGCCGCGCGUUCUCUUCUCUCUCGGAGCUCCGUGCAAGGAAUUCUUCCAGCCCUCACGACGCCGUCUUACUCCGGCCUCUCUCCCGUCUCCGCCGGCGCCACCGCAGCCCCCCACGCCUGAGGCCCCUACGUCGCCCCGCAGGGCUCAGCCUCCACCCGCCUCGGCUGCCUUCUCCUCACGACCCUCCCAAGCUGCUAGCUGGUCUAGAGGUUCCGAAACCACCAACACCCAACGCUCCGGCUACCGCCUUCCCAGACCACCCUCGGCAGAUCCCCUCUAUAGUUCCUGUAGCCGGAGAAGAAGAAAAUCCCUCCUAUCUGGCACUCCGCGUCCCCCAGAGACAGCGCCGCCGCCUACCUGUCACCCCUCUGCCUCCGGCUUCUUACCGCCACCGCCACCGCCUCCCGCAGCAGCCUGCCAACUGCAGCGCAACAACUGGCCCUCCCAUUGGGUGAUUCCACGCUCCAACAACAGCACCGCUGAUUGGCAGCAGUAUGCCCGCGGCCCUCCCCCUGUGCAAAGUCUAAAGAUUCCGGUCUCCGAGGAAGAACCACGUCGCCUUUUCCCCGCCCUGUGUUCUCCACAGUUUCUCUUACCUCGGUCAGACUCCGGAUGCACAGAUGUGCGGGGAAAAUGUCCACUUCCAGCCUCCUUCAUGUCACCUCCACCUGGUCCAGGAAUCUGUGACCCAGGACCAGAAUGUUAAAUUUCUUCUCUGCUUUCCUGCCGUAAGGUACUCGAGGUGACAACUUCCGUUUCCGGUUGCCUCCGGCUGGUGGGGUGAAUCUUGAGUGUCCUGAGAGGUCAGAUUGCUGUCAGGGAAAGAUGCCAACGCUGUUCCUGUACUAGAGCCAGCUCCCGUUAGUGGAGGUUGAUAUCCAACAAACUUGUAGGUUCACUCCAAACAUAGAGCCUAAAAUAUUUACUAUGUGGCUCUUUACAGAAAACGUUCAUGUAAACGUUCAUACUGCAUUUUUAAAGAAUCAUCUGAAGAAAGCACGUAACAAAAC